GGGCUUAAUUUUGGGGCCGUAUCCCGUGACCGAGACAAGCGUCUGGGCAGGUGCUUAAAGGCACAGGCGGAUGGAUCUGAUCGAUUUAUAAAUGAAACAGCUUUCAGACUCAGAUAAUGAAUAAUAUAUGUUUUGCUCAGUCUUUCUGUGCGGCCCGGUACCAAAUGACCCACGGACCGGUACCGUGCACUGUGUUAGAGGAGAUCACCCAUCAGGACUGGGCUACUGAGCACUACUGCGCAUGCACCUCCAGGAGAUGUUUGCCGUUGCCUAGUAACGUCGGUCAGCUGGUCCGUCAGAAGCAGAGGCACAAUGCAGAGCCCACGGAAAGAGGAGAGCUCCACCAGCCUGCAGGAUGGAGGAAGCGAAGCAGAGGAGGAGAGUGAAGCAGCAGCUGCAGAGGUUCUGACUGAGGACACCGCCCCACAUCCUCACCCAGAAAACUCCCUUGAUGCCGUGCAUGCAGGUAAGUCACACACACACACACACACACACACACACACACACACUGGAUUAGGUCUGAGGAAAUGUCUGCCACAUAUCAUCAGAUUGGAUCAAAUCAACAUAUUGAUUUGUCUCAUUUCUUGUGUUUCAGUCCAGGAAAAUGUUGCUGAGGUGUCGCUGUCACCUCACAACUCACACCUGAACACAUCGGUAGACAUGCAGGAGCAGGAACCGGGAGAGGAGGAGGAGGAGGAGGAGGAAGAGGAGUUCCUUAUUUUUAACCCUGAACACGUCUGUACCUCUUUCUUCACUAUCUUCAGUAUCAUUUUGAAUACACUUGUGCUGCAUCACACUGAUGCUACAUUUGAUGUGUUUGUAGCCGGUGGCCAGAAGGCAGCAAGCGGCUCUGAGCAGACACUUCAGCCAACAGCUGAAGAAGAUCAACCUGGACAUAAAGGAAAAGGUCGGCAGCGGAUAUUUUUUUUACCUUUGCAUGUCCAGACACUGAUGCUG
rnacentral:lncRNA from 1 species